UACGAAGGUCCCAAGCGUUAUCCGGAUUUAUUGGGUUUAAAGGGUGCGUAGGCGGGUUAUUAAGUCAGUGGUGAAAGCCUACAGCUUAACUGUAGAAUUGCCAUUGAUACUGAUGAUCUUGAGUAUGAUUGAGGUGGGCGGAAUGUGUCAUGUAGCGGUGAAAUGCUUAGAUAUGACACAGAACACCGAUUGCGAAGGCAGCUCACUAAGCCAUAACUGACGCUGAUGCACGAAAGCGUGGGGAGCAAACAGG
rnacentral:rRNA from 1 species